rnacentral:ncRNA from 1 species
ACUUUUCCCUCAAUUAAAAAUUAUGUUGAAUGAGAGGUGUAGACUAAGUGAGAGGGCCCCAGCGCCACCCCCCAUUUCCUGUGAAAGGGCAGGGUGGGGUCUGCCUUGCAGGCCAAUGGUGAAAUACCACUACUCUGAUUUUUUUUUUUUUUUCUUGACGCAGUGAAGAGAGGAGCGGCCAGCCCCAAGGGUCUCUCCUGGUGCCAAGCGCCCUGGCCGGCUACACGCCGGCAGGGCCAACUCACUCUGGGGACAGUGCCAGGUGGGGAGUUUGACUGGGGUGGUGCACCUGUCAAACAGUAACGCAGGCAAUUUUUUAAAAAUUAAAGAAAAAAAUUAUGCUGAACCCCAAUUAUUAGAAAAUUUAAAUUAUAAGUGACA